rnacentral:lncRNA from 10 species
CUCAACACAUUGAUAUUGAAGUCCCUCUCACUGGGUAUACAACCUCCACUGUGGGCAUGGGAGUUCAUGCUGACACCAACACCCUCCAGGCAGGCUGAAGCACCGGCCAUAUGCUGUUUUACACAUGGAAGUGCUUCUGGAAAUAGUCCUUUCGAUUACAUCUCAAACACCCCAAGGAAGCUGAUUUUUCCAGGCUUGCAGUGGCUUCUGGUUUAAAACGACAUCUGGCAAAAAGCUUCUCACCAAGAGUUUGGACGGCACUAAGCAGGAAGAAAAUUCAUGCUACCACCAAGAACUGGAUUUGAUUAUCAACAUUUUCUAGAAUCUGGGGGCAAGUUUCUCUACUUCCAAAGCUAAUGAUAAUGGGUUGGAAAAAAUAGUAAAUAUAGUAAAUCAACUUUGCAGGGUCACUAAAAAUUAAUAAACAAGUCUUAUUAUUUGAAAGUGACUGGCAACUUUUACAUAAAUGCCUUCUGCUUUAUCAGCUAGAAAAUUGGACAGCCAUCCCCUUACUGUGGGGGAGCUUCUUUUGUCAGGCAUAGAGGUAUUUCUACCCUCUCUAGCAAGAACUGAGAGGACAGAAAUUAGGUAAGACUGUAGGCAGGGGUCGCUUUGGGAAUGGAUCCUAUAUCCUGGCAGGUGUUGACUGCAGGUAACAGGGACAAGAGAAAAUUUCAUCUCAGCAUAGAAGAGCUACUUUACAAGAAUGACACUGAGAAUUUGACUAUAAUCUAUGUUCAUUUUCUCCCCUUCCAUCUGUACUUCUUAGGAUGAAUUCCAAAUUACACUUAGGUUGAGAAAUAAUGGGAUCGAAAGCAAUGCAACAUGUUUGCGUGUGAAUAUGAAGCCCAGUAAAAAUUCUUCUCACUUGAGAAUUAGUACACAAAUAUGAAAAAUAGAUUUUGAUUAUAGUUCACAAAUGUUCUGUCUUUUCUUGCCAUAGGAUUUUACCUCUCCAUUAUGUUUUACUAAGGCAUGGUCAUUUGACCUCCUCUGGCUAAUGGGAGGUGGGCAGAGUGAUAUGCACCGCUUUUGAUUGAAAGCCUUAGGAGUGAGCAUGUGACCGCUAUGUCAUCUAUAUCAUAGAGCCACCAUGAUGGCCAGAGAGAACCUGCCCUGUUAACUUGGGUUCCAAGGUGACAAUGACAUGGAACAGUGCCUCAGGUGAUUAGGAAUAGAUGAGUAACAUGGGAAGAGAUAUCCACACUGUAUACAUUAAUCCCCAUUAAUCAUCAACAUCAUCUGCUCCUGACAUCCAACCAUCAAUAUCCUCAUGGCCCAAGGACCCAGAAUCACCCAGGGCAGAUGAUCCUUCUUCUGACUGAGCAUCAGAAAGUCAACUGUAGCCUAACACAACAUCACAAUGCCUACAUCAUUCACCUCAUUUUAUCUCAUCACAGAGGUAUCUCACAUCAGCACAAGAAGAAAGGUUUAUUUCUGCCUCACACAACAUGACCAGUGAGAAAGUGGAA